CACGUAGGGGGCAAGCGUUGUCCGGAUUUAUUGGGCGUAAAGAGCUCGUAGGCGGUUCGGUAAGUCGGGUGUGAAAUCUCCAGGCUCAACCUGGAGGGGUCAUUCGAUACUGCCGUGACUAGAGUUCGGUAGAGGAGUGUGGAAUUCCUGGUGGAGCGGUGAAAUGCGCAGAGAUCAGGAGGAACACCCGUAGCGAAGGCGGCACUCUGGGCCGAUACUGACACUGAGGAGCGAAAGCGUGGGGAGCGAACAGG
rnacentral:rRNA from 1 species